rnacentral:rRNA from 1 species
AACGAACGCUGGCGGCAGGCUUAACACAUGCAAGUCGAGCGAGACCUUCGGGUCUAGCGGCGGACGGGUGAGUAACGCGUGGGAACGUGCCCUUCUCUACGGAAUAGCCCCGGGAAACUGGGAGUAAUACCGUAUACGCCCUUUGGGGGAAAGAUUUAUCGGAGAAGGAUCGGCCCGCGUUGGAUUAGGUAGUUGGUGGGGUAAUGGCCCACCAAGCCGACGAUCCAUAGCUGGUUUGAGAGGAUGAUCAGCCACACUGGGACUGAGACACGGCCCAGACUCCUACGGGAGGCAGCAGUGGGGAAUCUUAGACAAUGGGGGCAACCCUGAUCUAGCCACGCCGCGUGAGUGAUGAAGGCCUUAGGGUUGUAAAGCUCUUUCAGCUGGGAAGAUAAUGACGGUACCAGCAGAAGAAGCCCCGGCUAACUCCGUG